rnacentral:rRNA from 1 species
UACGGAGGGCUCAAGCGUUGUCCGGAAUCACUGGGCGUAAAGGGCGCGUAGGCGGCGCGGCAAGUUGGGCGUGAAAUCUUGGAGCUUAACUCCGAAACUGCAUUCGAUACUGCCGUGCUUGAGGACUGGAGAGGAGACUGGAAUUUACGGUGUAGCGGUGAAAUGCGUAGAUAUCGUAAGGAAGACCAGUGGCGAAGGCGGGUCUCUGGACAGUUCCUGACGCUGAGGCACGAAGGCCAGGGGAGCAAACGGG